rnacentral:rRNA from 1 species
UACGUAGGGUGCAAGCGUUAAUCGGAAUUACUGGGCGUAAAGCGUGCGCAGGCGGUUUUUGUAAGUCUGUCGUGAAAUCCCCGGGCUCAACCUGGGAAUGGCGAUGGAGACUGCAAGGCUAGAAUCUGGCAGAGGGGGGUAGAAUUCCACGUGUAGCAGUGAAAUGCGUAGAGAUGUGGAGGAACACCGAUGGCGAAGGCAGCCCCCUGGGUCAAGAUUGACGCUCAUGCACGAAAGCGUGGGGAGCAAACAGG